GCCUUUGUAGUGUAGUGGUCAGCACGCUCGACGCGUAACCGAGAUGUCCGUGGUUCAGUUUCCGGCGAAGGCG
rnacentral:tRNA from 1 species